ACUCAAAUGAAUUGACGGGGCCCCGCACAAGCGGCGGAGCAUGCGGAUUAAUUCGAUGCAACGCGUAGAACCUUACCUGGGUUUGACAUGGAUCGGGAGUGCUCAGAGAUGGGUGUGCCUCUUUUGGGGUCGGUUCACAGGUGGUGCAUGGCUGUCGUCAGCUCGUGUCGUGAGAUGUUGGGUUAAGUCCCGCAACGAGCGCAACCCUUGUUCACUGUUGCCAGCACGUUAUGGUGGGGACUCAGUGGAGACCGCCGGGGUCAACUCGGAGGAAGGUGGGGAUGACGUCAAGUCAUCAUGCCCCUUAUGUCCAGGGCUUCACGCAUGCUACAAUGGCUGGUACAGAGAGUGGCGAGCCUGUGAGGGUGAGCGAAUCUCGGAAAGCCGGUCUCAGUUCGGAUUGGGGUCUGCAACUCGACCUCAUGAAGUCGGAGUCGCUAGUAAUCGCAGAUCAGCAACGCUGCGGUGAAUACGUUCCCGGGGCUUGUACACACCGCCCGU
rnacentral:rRNA from 1 species